rnacentral:rRNA from 1 species
CAGUCGCCGCGGGAAUACGUAGGUGGCAAGCGUUGUCCGGAAUUAUUGGGCGUAAAGGGCUCGCAGGCGGUUUCUUAAGUCUGAUGUGAAAGCCCCCGGCUCAACCGGGGAGGGUCAUUGGAAACUGGGAAACUUGAGUGCAGAAGAGGAGAGUGGAAUUCCACGUGUAGCGGUGAAAUGCGUAGAGAUGUGGAGGAACACCAGUGGCGAAGGCGACUCUCUGGUCUGUAACUGACGCUGAGGAGCGAAAGCGUGGGGAGCGAACAGGAUUAGAGACCCGCGUAGUCCCUGUCUCUUAUAC